rnacentral:rRNA from 1 species
CCUACGGGUGGCAGCAGUGAGGAAUAUUGGUCAAUGGCCGAGAGGCUGAACCAGCCAAGUCGCGUGAGGGAUGAAUGUCCUGUGGAUUGUAAACCUCUUUUGUCAGGGAGCAAAGUCACCCACGUGUGGGCGUUUGAGAGUACCUGAAGAAAAAGCAUCGGCUAACUCCGUGCCAGCAGCCGCGGUAAUACGGAGGAUGCGGGCGUUAUCCGGAUUUAUUGGGUUUAAAGGGUGCGUAGGGGGUUUAUCAAGUCAGCGGUAAAAGCGUGGAGCUCAACGCCAUCCAGCCGUUGACACUGAUGAGCUUGAGGGGGCGAGAAGGAGGCGGAAUUCGGGGGUGAGCGGGUAAAUGCAUAGA